AUCGAACGCUGGCGGCAGGCCUAACACAUGCAAGUCGAACGCGUGGCGGACGGGUGAGUAAUGUCUGGGAAACUGCCUUAUGCAGGGGACUAACUACUGGAACCGGUAGCUAAUACCGCAUACCUUCCGCUGAGCCCAGAGGGGAUUAGCUAGUUGGUGGGGUAAUGGCUCACCUCGGCGACGAUCCAUAGCUGGCAUGAGAGGAUGACCAGCAACACUGGAACUGAGACACGGUCCAGACUCCUACGGGAGGCAGAAGUGGGGAAUAUUGCACAAUGGGCGCAAGCCUGAUGCAGCCAUGCCGCGUGUAUGAAGAAGGUCUUCGGGUUGUAAAGUACUUUCAGCGGGGAGGCGUUACCCGAAGAGGAAGCACCGGCUAACUACGUGCCAGCAGCCGCGGUAAUAC
rnacentral:rRNA from 1 species